AAUUGUUCAGUGGUUGUCAACAGCGUGAUGCAUUUUAAUCCAAAUCCGUUCAACGGUUCUAAAAAACGGUGCUUUAGAAAUUUUGAGCAAUGUACUCCAAAUACCUUGUCCUUAAGGACAAACGUCUUAAUAUCCCGCUUCAACAUUGCAUCAAACCUUCAGAUGCACAAAUCUCAAGAAGCAAGCUUCAAACAGCAAUGCUUUUUAUUAUUCUGUUCUUGCUCACUUGUAAUUAGCUUAAAAUAAAUACUCAGGUGCGAUGGUUUUGUUUACGCAGAGAUUUGUGCCCUCGAAAUCAUGAGUAGGUGCCAAAGUCGGCCAUUGUGGCGGCCAUUUUGGGAUUCUAACAAGGCUGUCCUUAAACUGCUGCAACAAAAGACAUAAUAAUGCACUACAUCCACCAAAAUUCUGAUUCGAAAAAAUACUGAACUCUGCGAAAAUCUCUCCAAUACCCACGGAAUCCAUCAAUAUUCCAUUUUUUUCUAAUCAGAAAAUAUUACCUGAACGUAAGUUGCAAAGAAUAGGCAAUUCCGUGAAGUGGAAUAUGCACAUUUUGUGAGUUUGUUGGGAACGGGAUGCGAUCCAAAGUCGUCGGCGUGGAAGGCAUGCUUGAUGGAUAAACACAAGGUAUGCUCCCUCGUUUUGCAUUGUUAUUACUGAAAAGCGACAAAUUCUGUGACUACCAUUUUUAAAUUCCAGAAAUUUUGCACAGAACCGAUCCGGCCAAUUACGGGACACAGCGGAGAUGAACGCACGAAAAUGGAUCCAUAGUACACGUGGUCAAGACAUAAAACUGCGGAAUGCUUGCAAAUUCACAAGAAAUUCGACAAAUGCGAAACUCAUUGUAGAAUUAGGGGUUGUGUGCUAUUAGUGGACCCUGCGCCUACAGUUGACCCCCUUCAGAAAAACUCAAAUAUAAAUGCCCAAAACAACUGCUUCCAGGCAACUUCCACCGGGGGAACAUCAAUUACAUAGCUACACAGCAGUUCCUAACAAAUAAAUGACCCAGUGGCCGCAACAAUCGGUUAUUUUAAUUAUUUAAUGAAUGUAAAUACUCAAAAAGGUCCACUAUACGCACACUCAGGGAGGGUCCACUAUAGGCACCGUCGGCGGCGUGACAGCCAACAUGGAAAUCAAAUUGGGGGUCCACUAUAGGCGCCAAGAUAUUUGUAAAUAAUCCAAUAAUGGACCCCGGUGGUGUCCAUUCACGGAGACAAAUGUCGUUCGUUUGAAACAAAAAUAUUCAUGUUUAUUCGGUAAACUGAUAAAAUAUUUAAAACUAAAAUAUAAAUUUUUAAAACAAGCUCAUUUACAUAUUGAUUUCUACAAUACCCAUUGAAGAGCCCCCCGUUUCGCCGUCGAGAACAUAAACAAAACUCUCAAGUUCCAGCUGCAUCACCAAACAAGAUUUCCUCUUGCAAAAAAGGCAAGUUUCACCAAAAGUUUCCACGAAAUCUGAUUGAUUUCGGGAGCGUAUGUUAUCUACAUGAUGUUGGCAUUGAAAGUGCCACGCGGGAAGUGGAUUUUCCUAGAGAAGAAAACAAAUAUUUCCGUAGGGCCGACCUGUCACAAAAAAAAAACAAAAAUUUUUACAUUUGUUUCUAACAUAACCUGUCAGAAGAUACAUGUUUGUUUCAAAAAUGGAUUGAAUUUGCUUCAAAUGUGACGUUCGAUUUGCUCCAAACAGUUUUAUUUUUGUUGCCAGAACAAAUUGACAAUUUAUUUGAGUUUACCUGAAAUAUUUUUGAUUUUACCAUGCUUUUUUCUGCGUGUUAUAGGCAACAUCGAUGCGUAUUUUCAAAUGCGUAUUUCACUGGAAUAAUGUAUUAAUGUUGUAUGUUCAACGUUCUUAACACAAAGAGGGGACGUGAAACUUGUAAAAAAAAAUCCACUUUGGAACAAUCCACUAUCUUAAAAUAGCUAAAGAGCCACAGAAGUAAAUUUCGAUGGCUUAGGGGGUCCACUACUAGUACACGCAGAAAAAAGCAUGGUAAAAUCAAAAAUAUUUCAGGUAAACUCAAAUAAAUUGUCAAUUUGUUCUGGCAACAAAAAUAAAACUGUUUGGAGCAAAUCGAACGUCACAUUUGAAGCAAAUUCAAUCCAUUUUUGGAACAAAAAUGCAUCUUCUGACAGGUUAUGUUAGAAACAAAUGUAUUUUUUUUUUGUUUUUUUUUUGUGGCAGGUCGGCCCUAAGGAAAUAUUUGUUUCCCAAUUAAAUUUACAAAGUCAUUACCUUCUCUAGGAAAACCCACCAGCCGCGUGGCACUUUCAAUGCCAACAUCAUGUAGAUAACAUACGCUCCCGAAAUCAAUGGGAUUUCGUGGAAACUUUUGGUGAAACUAGCCUUUUUUGCAAGAGGAAAUCUUGUUUGGUGAUGCAGCUGGAAUUUGAGAGGGGGCUCUUAAAUGGGUAUUGUAGAAAUCAAUAUGUAAAUGAGUUUGUUUUAAAAAUUAAUAUUUUAGUUUUAAAUAUUUUAUCAGUUUACCGAAUAAACAUGAAUAUUUUUGUUUCAAACGAACGAAAUUUGUCUCCGUGUACCCAAACCCUAGCUUUAAGUUAAAACACUUUGGCGAGUUUCAAGGAUAGUUAAAAUAUCAAAUUCGAAAAUAUGAUGAAAGCUUCAAGUUCAAGGCUCCUCAAACGUCAAAUCUUUGUAUUAAAUAUGCUCGACAAAAAAAUGGACCGCAAUUGGAAAUUGGUAGUCAACUCUUAACCUAGAAUGUGAAUUGUUUAUUCUUCACAACUACCUUAAGGCGAAACUGGAAGCAUUUUUUCAUUUUUCUGGUUUUUGAUUUUUCAUUAAAUAAUAAAGCAAUAUUUUCAAAAUCGGUUUUCGUACACAUGUAGAGUAUGGAUCAAGGAAUCUUCCGAUUUUUUUUUGUGGUGGAAAAUGUUUUCCAUUUUUGCAGAAACCAUUUUUUGUGAUAUUUUGUUCAAAAAUGGUUUCUGCAAAAACGAAAAACAUUUUCCACAACAAAAAAAAAAUCAGAAGAUACCCUGAUCCAUACUCUACAUGUGUACGAAAACCGGUUUUGAAAAUAUUACUUCGUUAUUUAAUUAAAAAUCUAAUACCAAAAAGUGAGGAAAUGCUUCCAGUUUCGCCUUAAGGUAAUAUUUUCAGAUGAGAAGAAUGAAAUAUCGAUGGAUUCCGUGGGUACUGGAGAGAUUUUCGCAGAGUCCCGGAAUGUUUCGAAGCGGAAUUUUGGCGGAGGUUGUGUGAUGAUGUGGGGAGCGUUUGCAGCAUUAUUAUGUCUUUUGUUGCAGCAGUUUACAUCAUAUUUAUGUCUUUCAGGAAUGUAUUGUGUCAUUUGUAGGGAAACUUAGAUUCAAACUGUUCACAUUUCUGCAAGAUAAUAAGUAAGUACUCUUGAGUUGGGCAACAAUGGCGUGGUUUUAAAGAUUAUCAAUGCCGUAAACGCACAAGCAUGCUCGUCUGAUCUAAACCCUAAUACAAAUCUUUGGAAGAUUAUGGUUUACGGCGUUUAUAAAUAUAACUGGCAUCUAAAGCCAGUUGAUAAGCUAAUAGCAGCAGUUUCUGAUGCUUCUCAUUCUAUUGAUAAAACUUAGUCAUCAGAGAACAAUAAAGCAUUUUUUUAAAUAAUCAAAAAGAAAUGAAAGCAUUUGAACAAAUAAAUUUUGAUUUGGUUUGAUAUUCUGUUUAAUUUUUUGGUGGCGUUAUAAUUUUGAAACAGUCGAAAAAGCAUUUUUUCUUCCAAUACAUCUCAAGAGUCUUGGUUUAUUAAUAAUUCUUGGGCUGAUAGUUGGGCUUUGAGAAUGUAUACUUCUGGCAAGGAAUAUAUAACUUAUCGGAGUUUUUGAAUAAAUGAACUACCGUCAAGGCGCCAUUCACCGUGGGGGUUCCAUUCACCGUGUGCCUUCGAAUAUUGUUUCAUUAUUUCCAUAUUAUGAUUGAAUGAUAUGACAAUUUCCCUUCAAUUUCACCAAUACAACACUAAUGCAUUGUUACCAUGUCAAAACGCUCAUUAAAAACACUUAAGACACAUUCUACCGUGACGUUACAACGUUUUGAUGCAUUCGUAGUCAGAUUUUCCACUAUAACUCAUGAAAACGAUUGUAAACCUUAAAAUAUUUUUUCAUAUUCGGAUUCCUUGUAAAAUUUCUGAUAUAUUUGACCUAUUGAACAUUUAGUUUUCAUUAUAAAAACGUGUUUUAAAUGCGUAUUUGUAGCGUGACGUUACAACGCGCUAGAAUCCGCUCCUCUCUACCGCGCUACCAACAUCUUAAAAAAUCUGCUGGGAUUUUUAAGUUAUUCUGAUUUUUUUUUCUACCAUUGAAAUUUAUUGGUUUGUUCUUCAAUUCAAUGGAAUAAAACAUAUAAAUUUCGGAUUUGUUUUUGGAUAAUCGACUUUUACAUUUCGUGACGUUACAACGCACGUUCAGUUUCAAACAGGGUUCUGCUCGCGUUGUAACGUCACGAAAAUGCACAUCAUGUUUGAAUCAGAAUAAUCAGCCAAAUUUGCCCAAAUUUGUGAAUAUAUUAUUGCAUUAUCUUCACUGCUUCAAGGGGAACUUUAUUCAAUUGAAAAUCCGUUUUGUGAUAAAUGGCUUGUAGGACCAAGUUAUUGCUAUCAGCAGUAUGAAUAUUCCUUCAUGAAGGUUAAUGACAUCGGCACCCAUCUUCGGCUUAGUACCAACUAUAUUCUUCUAAUUUUAUCCCAAAGACUAGACCGCUGAGAUCCUUCAGCAUAGAAUCCAUAGACCGCUGAGAUUUUUCAGCAUAGAACCAAUCACGCCGUCGCGAUAAACAUUUCUUAAAUAAUCUAUGCAAUGCCAUCAAUUCAAGUAAAAACGCUUAAAGAUGUGUGCAAGAAUUUAUUGAACCAAAGGCAUACCAGAGGAUCUGCAUACAACUUAGGACCCUUAAACCAACUUCUGUGAUCUCAGAGAUAAAUAGACCACAGUGAUAAAAACAAUCUUAAUUACUUAGAGAGUUGGUGUCUUUGGCAAAGUUGUUUGAUAAGUCACAACCAUUGGACGUGAGAUUUCGCGAUGCUAAAUAAAACUUUAUAAUAAUUUGCAAAUGAUUAGAAUUUCUCAAAAAGUUUCCUACGAGUUCUGACUAGCAGUCAAAAUUUGAAAAUUUUUGGACAUUUUUAUUUUAUUUUCUGAAUAAAUAUAAUGUGCAUGAUUUUUCAAGAUGUCAACUACCACUAGGCAAAUAGUACAUUAAGCCAAACGACUUUUAAACUGUAAAUCUUUGGAAAGUUAAACAACUCCCUAAGUAUUCAAGGACCUGAUAUAUAUGAAUCGGUGAUUAUUGUGAUAUCAAAGAUAGACGUAACACUGACAUAAUUUUCAUCUCUGUAUAUUUCAAGAUCCUGUAACAGUUGGGAAAAUCAAUCAAUAACUGUUUGUUUAAAUGCCGCUAUAAAAAAAAGCUCAUCAAAUUUUAUAGCUGGGCUCGUUUCCAAUCGGUCUACCGAUGGAGAUUGAGCGUAUAACAGAUAUGCCUAACAGCUGGAUAAGAGACAUGUAGGCGUGAAAUCAUGUGUUCUAAAAAUCUACCUAUGGUCAUAAUAUUUUAUUGGACACCAAUGUAUUGGAGUACCGCGGCGAAGAUAUGGACAAGAAACUGAAAUUUAAAACGAGAUAGAUAGUCGGGGAUAGGUUUGACAGCCCAUUAGAGGAACAAAGACAGUCACUGAAAAAUAGGAAAAUGACCAACUUCCGCCAAAGAUCACACGCAUAUAAUUAAAAAAUAGGUCGGAUGGACCAAAUAAGACUCCUCAUUUCAAUGACUCGUCCAUUUCUAGUUUGCACGCUAAAGCGACAAGUGGUGUCAAGAAUUGUAAAACCUAAAAUCAGUUCCGAAUUAGAAAGUUGCUAGACGGUUUACCUAAAACAGUUAUAUUUUAACCAAAGGAGAAGACCUAAAGCGAAGAACAAAAGUUAUAUAAAAAAACUAUUAGCAAAAGUGUAAAACCGAAAUUGUAUGGAAGAUUAAUUUCGAAGAAUAGUGUUUUGCUGAGGGGGAUCACGUGUUUUACGGUGAUCACCUACUAGCUAGCAACUGUGACCCAAUCAAAUUAAAAAGUGCGCUAGAUAGUGACAUAGCACGAAAUCAUCUGUAAAUCAAAGGUAGAUAUUACAAAGUGGCUUUUAUCAAGGGUGUGUUUGUUAAAAUGGUGUGGCACAGCCACCCACGUGGCUUUCGGUUUUGGAUUCUAAUUUCCAGGAAGGAAUCCGGACCUAUUCCCGGACAGAGAGGUGCCGUUCAGCUUCCUUGACCGAACCUCUUCCCGCCAAAACGUGUCACAGUCAACGACGCGGUUUUCGAGUGACCCUCAAGCACGUGGUCAGCGUCGUCGUAACCCAACAUCGGGACUCGAUCGGGCCGACGCACCAUUCCGGUCGCGGGCGAGUCGGGUUUGAGAUCGACGGCAACCAAGGCGGAAGGUCUUGGACACCUAAGCACCUGAGUCUCGGGCGUACCCUCCCACUGACCCGCAUGUUCGGUGGUUUUCGGAAGAGCGACGACCAGGAGCCCAUCAGCGAGAGGAGAGCAUCAACGGCCGCAACGAACAAGGUACCUAUUAGCAAGUAAGCCACGAACACACCCAGAGAGAUAGGUUAGAUGUAGGUAAGCGCACAUGUUCCACGUAACGAAACGAAUAAAUACAAACAGGCCUAACCUAUUGCGCAUCGUUGAUAACUAGAGGUGUAUAGAGUUUUUUGGACUGAGGAGAAUCUCUUUUUUUUAUUACUCGGUCGGGUCGCGAUCUUGCGACGGGAGAUAUUCCCAAAUCGGUUGAGUGAUCGGUUGGUGCACGUUGAGAGUGAGUACAACAUCAGGAUUGUAAGAGGGAGUCUGAUAGGCUAGAGAACCUGCCCUGAGUGUUUAUCUCGGGUUAGUCGGGCACGAAAAUACCGUACUGGCAUCCUUGUUAAUCAAGGUUGGCGCAGAAGUCAGUAUAGGGAAAGAAGGUACUAUC